UCUCGGCAACGGAUAUCUAGGCUCUCGCAUCGAUGAAGAACGUAGCGAAAUGCGAUACUUGGUGUGAAUUGCAGAAUCCCGCGAAUCAUCGAGUUUUUGAACGCAAGUUGCGCCCGAAGCCACUCGGCCGAGGGCACGUCUGCCUGGGUGUCACGCACCGUCGCC
rnacentral:rRNA from 1 species